rnacentral:rRNA from 1 species
CCGCUGAACUUAAGCAUAUCAAUAAGCGGAGGAAAAGAAACCAACAGGGAUUGCCUCAGUAACGGCGAGUGAAGCGGCAACAGCUCAAAUA